UACGAAGGGGGGCUAGCGUUGCUCGGAAUUACUGGGCGUAAAGGGCUCGUAGGCGGCCAACUAAGUCAGACGUGAAAUCCUUCGGCUUAACCGGGGAACUGCGUCUGAUACUGGAUGGCUAGAGGUUGGGAGAGGGAUGCGGAAUUCCAGGUGUAGCGGUGAAAUGCGUAGAUAUCUGGAGGAACACCGGUGGCGAAGGCGGCAUCCUGGACCAAUUCUGACGCUGAGGAGCGAAAGCCAGGGGAGCAAACGGG
rnacentral:rRNA from 1 species